rnacentral:rRNA from 1 species
CUACGGGGUGCUGCAGUGGGGAAUAUUGCACAAUGGAGGAAACUCUGAUGCAGCCAUGCCGCGUGUGUGAAGAAGGCCCGAGGGUUGUAAAGCACUUUCAAUUGGGAGGAAGGUUAUGUAGCUAAUACCUGCAUAAUUUGACGUUACCUUUAGAAGAAGCACCGGCGAACUCUGUGCCAGCAGCCGCGGUAAUACAGAGGGUGCAAGCGUUAUUCGGAAUUACUGGGCGUAAAGCGCGCGUAGGCGGAUUGUUAAGUCAGAUGUGAAAGCCCUGGGCUCAACCUGGGAACGGCAUUUGAUACUGGCAGUCUAGAGUUUAAGAGAGGGAAGGGGAAUUUCUAGUGUAGCAGUGAAAUGCGUAGAUAUUAGAAGGAACAUCAGUGGCGAAGGCGCCUUCCUGGCUUAAAACUGACGCUGAGGUGCGAAAGCGUGGGUAGCGAACGGGAUUAGAUACCCGAGUAGUC